GUGCCAGCCGCCGCGGUAAUACCGGCAGCUCGAGUGAUGUCCAAUUUUAUUGGGCCUAAAGCGUCCGUAGCUGGCCAGCCAAGUUCGUCGGGAAAUCCACCUGCCCAACAGGUGGGCGUCCGGCGAAAACUGUCUGGCUUGGAACCGGAAGGCUCAGAGGGUACGUCCGGGGUAGGAGUGAAAUCCUGUAAUCCCGGACGGACCACCGAUGGCGAAAGCACUCUGAGAAGACGGAUUCGACAGUGAGGGACGAAAGCUAGGGUCUCGAACCGGAUUAGAAACCCCAGUAGUC
rnacentral:rRNA from 1 species